GCCUUCGUGGUGUAGUGGUCAGCACACUGAGCCUGUAUUUCAGAGGUCCGUGGUUCGAUUCCCGGCGAAGGCG
rnacentral:tRNA from 1 species